rnacentral:misc_RNA from 1 species
UCAAACUUGGUCAUUUAGAGGAAGUAAAAGUCGUAACAAGGUCUCCGUUGGUGAACCAGCGGAGGGAUCAUUACCGAGUUCUAAACUCCCAAACCAUUGUGAACAUACCAUUGUUGCUUCGGCGGACUCGCCCCGGGCGCCCCUCGCGGCGCGACCCGGGCCCAGGCGACCGCCGGGGGACCCAAACCCUGAAUUUUAGAGGAUCUUCUGAGUGGCAUAAGCAAAUAAUCAAAACUUUCAGCAACGGAUCUCUUGGCUCUGGCAUCGAUGAAGAACGCAGC